rnacentral:misc_RNA from 1 species
UACGUAGGGGGCAAGCGUUGUCCGGAAUUACUGGGCGUAGAGCGCGCGUAGGCGGAUUAGUAAGUCGGAGGUGAAAUCCCAGGGCUCAACCUUGGAACUGCCUUUGAUACUGCUAGUCUUGAGUUCGAGAGAGGUGAGUGGAAUUCCGAGUGUAGAGGUGAAAUUCGUAGAUAUUCGGAGGAACACCAGUGGCGAAGGCGGCUCACUGGCUCGAUACUGACGCUGAGGUGCGAAAGCGUGGGGAUCAAACAGG